AGUGAACGCUGGCGGUAGGCCUAACACAUACAAGUCGAACGGCAGCACAGUAAGAGCUUGCUCUUACGGGUGGCGAGUGGCGGACGGGUGAGGAAUACAUCGGAAUCUACUUUUUCGUGGGGGAUAACGUAGGGAAACUUACGCUAAUACCGCAUACGACCUACGGGUGAAAGCAGGGGAUCUUCGGACCUUGCGCGAUUGAAUAAGCCGAUGUCGGAUUAGCUAGUUGGCGGGGUAAAGGCCCACCAAGGCGACGAUCCGUAGCUGGUCUGAGAGGAUGAUCAGCCACACUGGAACUGAGACACGGUCCAGACUCCUACGGGAGGCAGCAGUGGGGAAUAUUGGACAAUGGGCGCAAGCCUGAUCCAGCCAUACCGCGUGGGUGAAGAAGGCCUUCGGGUUGUAAAGCCCUUUUGUUGGGAAAGAAAAGCAGCAGGUUAAUACCCCGCUGUUCUGACGGUACCCAAAGAAUAAGCACCGGCUAACUUCGUG
rnacentral:rRNA from 1 species